CCGAGUUUACAACUCCCAAACCCCUGUGAAUAUACCACUUGUUGCCUCGGCGGAUCAGCCCGCUCCCGGUAAAACGGGACGGCCCGCCAGAGGACCCCUAAACUCUGUUUCUAUAUGUAACUUCUGAGUAAAACCAUAAAUAAAUCA
rnacentral:misc_RNA from 1 species